UACGGGGGGGGCAAGCGUUGUUCGGAAUUACUGGGCGUAAAGGGCUCGUAGGCGGCCAACUAAGUCAGACGUGAAAUCCCUCGGCUUAACCGGGGAACUGCGUCUGAUACUGGUUGGCUUGAAUCCGGGAGAGGGAUGUGGAAUUCCAGGUGUAGCGGUGAAAUGCGUAGAUAUCUGGAGGAACACCGGUGGCGAAGGCGGCAUCCUGGGACCGGUAUUGACGCUGAGGAGCGAAAGCCAGGGGAGCAA
rnacentral:rRNA from 1 species